GCGAGAGAAUUCUAAGAGCACCUUCUGCAAGGACCUGUCCUUGUCAGCGGCAGCAGAGAGGCAGGAGUGCUGUGGAGCUGGCUUCUGCUUCUCUCCUGUCUCCAGAGGAGGCUCUCCCUCUGGGGCUGGCUCCGGCUGCAGAGCAGGCCCAUGGUGUUCUGGUCGUGGAGCCGGAGCUAGGAGGAGGAAAGCUCAGCAGUGUCAGUCCCUCGCCAGUUCCCUGCGGAGCCUAGAAAAGACAUCCUGGCCAUUUGGGGGAUUCCAAUGCCCAACCAAAAGCCAUGAAAGCCUUCCGGACUGCUGUGGCCCUCACCAUCUGUGUCGGCCUCGUGGGGCUCUAGAUAUUCCACCUGAGCAAGGGGACGGCACAAGGGAGGCUCCAUGUCUGCUCCAGAUGAAUGAUUCUUCCACCCUUCGUAUCAGUCUCACACAAAUCUCAGGACACGAACACAAUACAGUCCUAUUUUCUGCUGGAGCACAACACACAUGGCCUGGAUCCAACUGCCACUGGCAUCCUUCUUCUCAACUGAAACCUCCUAAGUCUGGCCUUUCUCAUCUGCAAUCUCUCUGCACUCCGGUCUUCUGUGCUCGGACCAGAAUCUUCCAUCAAGCUCAGAUUAGAGCAUUCUAGGGCUGCUUCUCCAGCUGGCAUCUCCAAACCUUUCCAAACUGCUGUGGACCACUUCCACAGGCCUCUGAACCACCUGGUGAGGUACAGUCGCUGCAGUGACCAGCAGACUUCUUGUACCAACAUCUGUAUCACCCACUUGCUUGUCCCUGAACACAAUACUCAGCACUACACAUUAAGGGAAGAGAGGUUUGUUUCAGCUCACAUUUCAGUUCAUAGUUAGCUAGCUCCAGGAUGGCAGGAU
rnacentral:lncRNA from 1 species